AAAAUCUAUUAGAUUGGUGCAAAAGUAAUUGUGGUUUUUGCCAUUAAAUGUAUUUUGUGGCAAAAACCGCAGUUAUUUUUGCACCAAACUAUAAUG
rnacentral:miRNA from 10 species